UACGUAGGUGGCAAGCGUUAUCCGGAAUUAUUGGGCGUAAAGAGCGCGCAGGUGGUUGAUUAAGUCUGAUGUGAAAGCCCACGGCUUAACCGUGGAGGGUCAUUGGAAACUGGUCGACUUGAGUGCAGAAGAGGGAAGUGGAAUUCCAUGUGUAGCGGUGAAAUGCGUAGAGAUAUGGAAGAACACCAGUGGCGAAGGCGAUUCUCUGGACUGUAACUGACGCUGAGGCUCGAAAGCGUGGGGAGCAAACAGGAUUAGA
rnacentral:rRNA from 1 species